GCUUUGGUAAUAGAGUACCUAAACAAGAGCAAAAAUGGAGAAACUUCAAUAAAUAGAAGCAAAAAAGAAAGUAGAGGUUUCACAAUUCCAGCAUAAAUAUGGAAAAUGGUAGCAAAAAUAAUAGAUAAAACCACCAGCAUUGCAUGCAAUAAGACUCUUAAAUGAAUCCUUAAGAAUCCAAUACAAACCAAGAAUACAAACUAAUAAAUAUAGUGUCUUAAGGAAUACAUUUGCAAAUUGCAACCAAAAAAUAGACACACUGCUUUGAUUUUAUCAGGUGAAAUCCCAUCUCCACCCAUCUCAUAAUUCAGGCUAUAUAGAUAUUUUAAUUUCAAGCCUCGCAUAUUGGUAAUAUUCUAAUUGCUUUUUUUUUUAAUCAACCAUUUUCUAUAUAUCCUGUUAGUUUUCAAAAUGGAGCAUUAUUUUAUUUGUCAGAUAAAUAAUCCUAAUUGCCU
rnacentral:misc_RNA from 1 species